rnacentral:rRNA from 1 species
GAUGAACGCUGGCGGCGUGCCUAACACAUGCAAGUCGAGCGAACAGACCAGGACUUUGCUCCUCUGACGUUAGCGGCGGACGGGUGAGCAACACGUGGAUAACCUACCUAUAAGACUGGUAUAACCUCGGGAAACCGGCGCUAAUACCGGACAAUAUAUUGAACCGCAUGCUUCAAUAGUGAAAAACGGUUUUGCUGUCAGUUAUAGCUGGAUCCGCGCCGCAUUAGAUGGUUGGUAAGGAAACGGCCUACCAAGGCAACGAUGCCUACCCGACCUGAUAGAGUGAUCGGCCACACUGGAGGGGAGACACGGUCCAGACUCCUACGGGAGGCAGCAGUAGGGAAUCUUACGCAAUGGGCGAGAGCCUGACGGAGCGACGCCGCGUGAGUGGUGAAGGUCUUCGGAUCGUAAAACUCUGUUAUGAGGGAAAAACAAAUGUGUAAGUAACUGUGGAGAUAUUGACGGUACCUGAUGAGAAAGCGCCGGCUAACUACGUG